UGGGGAAUGCGCCAAUGCCAAAAGAGCUCAGGCUCAGUACGUCGUGUUGAUAGAUGGACCAAAAAACCGGAAGGAUAAAGUGAAAAUCCAACGACCUGUUUUAUUUCGCUCGUUCCAGCGCCCACACACUGGUUUUCUGAAAGUUCCUCCAGCUGUCUCACUUCCCUACUGUAAUGACUGAGGCUCAUGACAUUCUUCUACGUCAAAGCGCAGACAGUCCUGCCUGUGCCCUGCACAAACGUCUUCGAGCAGGACCAGGGAAAGGCCGAGCCCAGACCUCAGCGACGUCUUCAGACCGCAGCUUCCCAACACCCUCGGGAAGAAGGUGUCCCUGAGAUUGGCCAGGCCAGCCUUGCGGUUUGAGGCGGUGAGUCACCUUCUGGCGGCAAGUCAAGGCGCGCUCACUGCGCCCUUGUUUGGAGAGGACAGGAGCCACACUCAGAGGCCCAGAGACAGAAGGGCGGUUAGGAGUCGCCGAGGCCCUAAGAGAGACAGGAAGCACACACAGACAGAAGGACCACAACGACCCGAGCCAGGACCGGCGCGCACAGAGAGAUGAGAAACACAGACGCAGCCAGACCCAGAGCAAAGAGAGCGAGCAGAGGGAGAGACAGGGAGAGGGGGCGCGCCCGGGAGCCGAGGGAGGCGACGUGCAAUCGCCUGGAGGUGGCCGGAGCCCCUGCGCACGCUCCUCGAUCCCCGCCACCUCCCCCACCCGACGUGAGCGAAAGCGAAGCCAAUGAGCUGCCAGAGCCGGGCAUUACCUCACCAGAACUGGCCGCCAUUGGUUGGCCCGGUCGCCGGGCGGGCUGUUGCUACAACAGCCCAGCCUGGUUGCGGAGGGCUGCUGGAGCUGCGAGGAAGGAAGGCUCUGAGGAAGAGAUUGUUGUCCCCACCUCUUCCCAUCCUCUGGCGGGGCCCACGGAUCCCGACUCAGGCCCCAAGGGGAAAAGCAAGCUCGUGUAGCCUCAGGGACCAGAACUCCUCCCACGCCGCCCAUCACCCGGGCCCCGCCACAACCUGCCUGCUUUCGGGUGUCAAGCCCACCCCACACCCGAAGGCCCGCAGCCCUUCACUGCGCGCCCAGUUCGCGCACCGUGCAAACAGCAACGCGCGCCAUCAGCAGCCAGGGGCCGCGCGGGGCUGUGUAGGGACAGAGACCAGCACGCCUCCGCCUCCGUCGCUGCCUCUGGCACCCACCCCCGUCAGAACAGGCAAAAGCUUUGUAUUUAUAGGGAACUCUCCAGGGAGGACAACUGAGUCACCCAGAGAUACCUUCCACUCCUGGGUCCUUAGCCAAGUCACCAUGUUUACGCUAUCAGAACAUCUAACCCUCCAUAGUCGGGGGCCACCACGGCGGGACAGAAGCCUGGGACAAUAAAACAAGCCCCUGGGUGCCACAGGCUCUUCCCCUUCAUAACAGGUAUGUUGCUUCUCAUCUCUAUUGUGUCCCUGUGACAUAAGGUCCCUCUUCUCUUGUCAACCCCGCCAUACCCCAAGAUGAUUUUGUUUAAUGUCAUUAAAUGAUAAGAUUUUGUUUAAUGUCAUUACAAACACUGGGAAACGAUUCAGCUCUCCCUGCUCAAAGAACCAGCUUUGGGGCAGCUUUGUGAAGGUUAAGCUUUAGUUCAGAGGAGGUUAAUACAUAGCAGAGCUGAGCUGUUGGGGACAUUAGCUGUCAUUGUCUUUUUGGUUUUGUUUUGUUUUGUUUUUCUUUUUGAAACAGGAUCUCGCUAUGCAGUUCAGCUGGCCUUGAGCUCACUUUGUAGAGACCAGGCUGGUCUCAAACUCGCAACAAUCCUCCUGCCUCAGCCUCCAGAGUGUUGGGAUUACAAGUGUGCACCACCACGCCCAGCAACAUUGUCUCUUUGCAUCCUCGAUUUUACAUUGUGAAAACUGGGGAUCAGAGGAGGAAGAGGUACCCCAACUUUGAAGGCACCCCCAGUAAGGCCCUGCCAGCCCCAAAAGGCUAAAGCUGGCUUCUCCUCUAGGGUAUGCUGGUGUUACUAGAUGGUUUCUACCUCCUGGGUGCCAGGCCAGGAAGUGCUCCACACAGGAAGUACCACUUCCGUUUGUCAAGGAGAAACCGGAAGUCCAUUUGAGUCAGCAGCCUGCUCAGGGGUACAGCACCUGAUUCCGAAGGUGUGGAAGGCUUCUUCGUGCCAGUAUGUAGGUCUGCCUGCCGCUGUUUGCUGAGGGCACAUGAACAAGUUGCAGCGAGGUUUCCUCAUGACGAUGGAACGGGAUGAGGUUAGCACCAGCUGACAAAGGAAACCUUGAGGUCAUGGGCAUAGCCGGGCGAUACCAGGUAACUUGGUUUGAGACCCUUUUGCAACAGCAGUAAAAUGACUGAAUUUUCUCUCUGGCUUGAGGCUUAGAACUUGAGUGUCUUUUGGGCUGAUUUAUGUGGCUGCCACACUGAUGAGACAGUUUGCCCUCCAUCCAGGAGCUGCAACCAAGGAGUGGGGUUUGGGGGUCUCAGUGUGUGCAGAGACCCUGGGAUGCAAAACUGCCUGGAUGUCAACAUCUGUGGGCUCUGAAGGAGUCGCCGUUCUCUACCCUGGACGGGCAGAUGGUCCUCCAUCUUGGGUUCUUGCCUAGCUCUGGAAAAGGCUAUGACUGAAUUGGGGGGAAAAGUUAUUUCUGGUCAGGAAAAUUCUUGACUCCAGCUCUGCACAUUUUUGUUCCUAGGUCUUAGCUCUGGGUAUUUUUGUUUUCCUUCCUGUACCAGGAAUCGAACUCACGACCUUGUGCUUGCCAGGCAGGCGCUGUGCUGCUGAGCUAAAUCCCCAGCCCCCCUAGGUCUCAGCUCUGGAAGCACUCCAUCCUAAGCUAUAGAAAACACUUGUUUUUGUUUUUUUUUUCAAUACUGGCGGUUGAACUCAGGACCUUGCACUUGCCAGGCAGGCACUUAUGCCAUUGAGCUAUAUCCCCAGCCCCCUAGAAAACACUCUCUUUAUGACCAUGAGAAACACUCUGCCCAGGACUCUAAAAAAAAACACAGUGUCCAAAAAUCUAGAAGAGCUUCUACCAUAAGAUCUGGAAAACCCACUGCCAGGGCCGCCCUGACUCUGGAGGUCUCUGAGCCCCGUGUGCGGUGGUAAAUGAGGAACGGGGGCUCUUGGCUGGAGGGGGCUGUGGACGGGUAGUGCUUCCCGAUUUCCGGCUUGUACACAUGCAUGGCAGGUUUCACUGUCACGGGGACAGCACUGAAGAGAGAACUGGGAGAGGACACGUACACUGGCUUCCAACCAUCACAAGGUUGGGGCCGUUCUGUGAACGUAGAGGACUCUGACCCCUGAAUGUGGGGACUGCUGGGGCCCUGGGCUGGACAGAGUCCAGCCCCUGGGUGUGGAGGAAUCUAAGACAUGCACGUGGCUAACUCCUUGUCCCUUGAUUUAUGACAUCCCUCUCUAAGCCAACAACUUCAAUUCAAGGGGCCAUGAAAAGCAGGAAUGUUCAGAAAACCUGACAUUCCCGAUGUCCUCCUAUGUCCUGCCACUGUCCCAGUGGUCUUGAUAACACACAUGCAUCAAGGCAUUUUCUCCCAUCCAGGAGGCCUGGACUUUGAGCACUGGGAGGUGAGGCCCAUUUUCUAGCUGACAUCUGAGUGGAAAGAGUGUCUGUCACAGUUCCCUGACACCGUCUCAGCAGAGGGGGCCCAGGAGAUGGAUGCAGGGUGCCAGUUUUGAUGGGGGGCAGGGGUCAGCGUGAAAUUGGAGGGCCUACCAGGUUGUACACACCAGUAACAAGGCUAGGGGGCCUAGCUGAAAUGGGGCAUGUGUGUCAAGGGACACCACCUGGUUUGGCAGAAAAAAGACCUGGGCCCUUGAGACUAAUGGAUAUGCCCCAUGAGCUAAGCAAAGCAGCAAUGUCACCGCAGCAUGUGGACAAUGACACCCCGCCCCUGCUCCAAAUGCCCCAUCAUGAGCUCUGGGGCCAUUGUGCAGCCGCCAUGCUAGACAGAUCCUGCCCUGCUCUGGAAAACACGUUCCCCUUCCCCCAGGAAGGGCCUCCAACAGCCCUGGUCUCACAGAGCCUCUGCGGCUCUGAGAAAACCCCAGGGAGGCUCCACUCCUGCCUCCGGAACACAUGUGGACCCUGACUUUGGAGAGGCUCCCUCUGACAAAUGCGGGAAAAAGCACUUUGUAAAACUAAAAGGCUGAGCCUGGCAUGCGGCAGAUGCCAGCUAAACGUGUGUGGAAUGAAGGAGUGGUCCUGCGAGAGCUUUGCAAACUGCAACGCACAGCGCGAGCCUCAGAUAUUAUUCUUACUGUGACUAAAUAAAGCAGCUAUCAGGGGCAUUAUGGGAAAUUCCAUAUUUCUCCCUAACGAGAUCUUUUUCUUCUGGGUUCUCACUAGAAGGGGAGCGUGGGGCUUGGCUCACUGUGGGUAUCAAUAAACGUUUGACAAAUGGAUGGACUCAUGGAUGGAUAAACGAGGGAUCUAUGGACGGAUGCAUCGCUGUGCAGACGGGGAGUGAAUGGAAAGAUGGAUGGAGCACCUGACACAUUUGCCUACCCAACAGCCGCCUCCCUCUUCCCCUGCCUUCUUCUUUGCUAAAUGAGUCCUGAUUUUAUUCUAUCC
rnacentral:lncRNA from 1 species